AUGGUGGGAAGGUUGUCUAGACUUAUUAUGAUCUGGCACUCCCUCCCUUUCUGACCCAGGGGUUUCUCUCUGGGCAUGUGUAGUUGGGGUCUCCCUGACCCUGAGGAUGGGGAGUCCAUGACUUCUUGGUCUUUUGUCCACUCAGGGCUCACGCCCCUCUUUUGAUCCUGUCAUUACCAUUGUUUCACAAGUUCAUGGAAGACAAGUACUUGCCUUGUGCCUGUUGUUAUUUCUGUCUUGAAGUAUGGAUAGGUGGCAGGUGUAAAUGUCUAUCCUGGAGCCCACCUGUCUCCUGCCUCAAGAAGUGUAAAUAAGAGGCUAGUUGCAACUGCUUAUCCCAGAGCCCGUCUCCAUCCUGCCUCAGGACUGUGUUCGGUGAGGCUUAGGUUGCAGAAGUGGUAACCCUGAGCUGUUGGGAUUGAGAGGCUUUCUUAACCUGGAUGGGAAGCUUUCAGCUCUCAUUCUGCUUUUUGGGUGUGAGUGGGGCAGGGGGCGGGGAGCAAUUUGCUGGGCAAGUCCUGGCUCUCCCAUUGGCCCCCAGGGCACAGAGCCAUACAAGGCCUGGCCACUUGGACAAAGAGUCCAAUCCUCUCUCCAAAAAGGAAGUCCCACUACUUAUGGGAUGUGGGGCCUGUCUCAGCUGGGCAGGCCCAUGCCUACCUUGGGAGCCGGGGGCCAGAAACUCCCAAAGGCAGCAGGAGGAGAGCCGGCUGGGUUUGUCUGGGUACCAGCCAUGCUCCUUAUUGACGUUUCCCUGAAAAACAACCCACAUGUUUUGAUGAUUUCUAAAGAGUUUAAAAACAAUAUACUUAAUUGCUAUGAGUAAUUUCAGAGCUCAUUAAUGUAAUAAAUCUCUGGAGAGAAAUACUCUUAGCUAACGAUCAGCAUAAAAUCAGUCUCUUGGCGUGGAUGGAAGCUCUGGUUCAUUCCUCUGCAGAGACAAAACAGUGGACACAGCGGAAGGAGGAGGCCUGUUUCUCCAAAGCAGGCUCAUUGGCAUCAUCAAAAGGUUUUGUGGUCUUGGGACUUUGGAACUCCAGCGGGGUGAAUUUUGUUUAAAAUGAGCAGCCAUUGGGCUGCUCCCAUGAGCCCUUGUUAUAUGUUUUAUUUUAGUUUUUUGCCUUUUAGGGCUAUACCUACAGCAUAUGGAGGUUCCUAGGCUCGGGGUCAGGUCAGAGCUGUAGCUGCCAGCCUACACCACAGCUACACCUGCAAUGCCGGAUCCUUAGCCCAUUGGAGCCCGAGUGGUCUUUUCGGCAACAGAGCAUCCUGCUCACCUCCUCAAACCCUUGCAAUGACUUUUGAUUUGUUUAAAAUAAAAUAUGGCCUCUUGGCCUUGCCUGCAGGGGUUUGUCCCUGUCUCACCCUUAUGCUACUCCAGCUAGAGGACCUUCCUUCUCUAUUUUGUUUAUUAAUUAAUUAUUUUUUGUCUUUUUUAGGGCCACACCCACAGCAUAUGGAGGUCCUCAGGCUGGGGUCCAGUUGGAGCUGAAGCUGCUGGCCUACACCACAGCCAUAGCAAUGCAGGAUCUGAGCCAUGACUGUGACCUACACCACAGCUCACGGCAAUGCCAGAUCCUUAACCCACUGAAUGAGACCAGGGAUCGAACCUGCAUCCUCAUGGAUGCUAGUCGGGUUCAUUAACUGCUGAGCCACAGGGGAACUCCUCCUUCUCUACUUUGAACACAGAACUCUUGGGCCCUUGCACCUGCUCAUGCCCCUGCCUGGAGAUGACCAGCUACCUUGUCCUUAUCUUUGGUGUCUUUGUCCAACUGUCCCCCCUCAGAGAGGCCUGGGUGGGCUGUUCCCUAUAGCAGCGCAAACUCCAGAGGUGUGCUGCCUCUGACAUUUCUCUCGUAAUUCAACGUUCUGAUUGAAGCCAUAUGCUUAGACUGGGUGCCCUGAAUAACUGGGGUAAAACUCCAUCUCAUCACCACGCACAGGGAAGAAUCUCAUGGGUGGCGAUCUGGGCUGGGAGCAGAGCCUUCUCCAGGGAACUGACACAGUGGCCUCCCUGAGCGGGCGGCCCAGUCUGAGCAUCUGGCUGACCAGUGUGUGGGGUGGGGGCUGCUCCCACAACACUGGAGAGAGAUUUGGGGCUGAAGUUUCGGCUUGGAUUUGGAUGUUCUUUUCCAGAUCCACCUGAAACUCCCCUUUGCUCUAGACUGAAUGCUGUGUGUCUUAGGUUCACCUUCCUGGAUGCCCACUGGGACCCAAGCCAUGCUGUACAGAGUGGAUCCUUUAGACCUCAGCUCUGAGGGGUGCUCCCUCCCAGCCUGAUGACCUGACUGUGUCGCAGAUGGAGCCAUCGCUGCCUCGUGGGUGGGGACCAGGAGGCCAUGGUGACAGAAGGAUGACAUUGUACCCUGAAGUCCCUGCCAUCCAGGCCAUGUCAUCCCAGGCCCAGCUUCCAAGGUAUCAGAUGGCUUAUCAGUACACUUGUCUUCUUCCUUCACUGCUGCUGGGAGGUGAGCUUCCUUCAGAGGAAAAUCCUUUUCAUGUGGUUGGAGAUUAUGUGUCUUAUGUGGCAUCGGGUGAUGGAGGCUGGGUUGGAGAAGGCAGGCAGGGGUGUGAGUGUGCAAGUGCCUGGAGGCUAAGCCCUGCCUCUGUCUGUCCCCCAGGGCCCCAUGGGUUGGACCAGGGCUUAGGGUCAUCCAUCUGGGUUCUAGUCUUGACUGCACAUGUGAACAUUAGCAAAGCCUUAAAAAGCAGUGGUUCUCAAAUAGGUGUCAUUUGGCACCCUCCCCACGCCCUACCCAGGGGACAUUUGAUGUUAUCUGGAAACAUUUUUGGUUGUCACAAUCAUCUCAGAGGGAGAUGAAUGCUACUGGCAUCUAAAAUGCAGAGGCCAGGGAUGCUGUGUCAGCAGCUACAAUGUGCAGCUCCACACACCAAAGAAUUGUCUAUGCCAACAUGUCAGUGGUGCUAAGGUUGAGAAAAAACCCCUCCCAAACCUCUGCUUUUUGGAAUAUUACUCAGCCAGAAAAAAAGAAUGAAAUAAUGCCAUUUGCAGCAACAUGGAUGGAGCUAGAAUUAUCAUACUAAGUGAAGUUAGACACUGAAAGUCAAACAUCAUAUGCUAUCACUUAUAUAUUGAAUGUAAAAAAAGGAUACAAGUGAACUUAUUUGCAGAACAGAAACAGACUUUGAAAAACUUGUGGUUACCAGAGGGGACAGGUGAGAUUGGCAUAUGCACACUGAGGUAUAUAGAAUGAUUGGCCAACAGGGACCUGCUGAAUAGCACAGGGAACUCUACCCAAUAUUCUGUGAUCCACUCUGUGGGAAAAGAAUCUGCAAGAGAAGGGAUGUGUGU
ensembl:lncRNA